GAUGAACGCUGGCGGCGUGCCUAACACAUGCAAGUCGAGCGAUUCUCUUCGGAGAAGAGCGGCGGACGGGUGAGUAACGCGUGGGUAACCUGCCUCAUACACAUGGAUAACAUACCGAAAGGUAUGCUAAUACAGGAUAAUAUAAGAGAUUCGCAUGGAUUUCUUAUCAAAGCUCCGGCGGUAUGAGAUGGACCCGCGUCUGAUUAGCUAGUUGGUAAGGUAAUGGCUUACCAAGGCGACGAUCAGUAGCCGACCUGAGAGGGUGAUCGGCCACAUUGGAACUGAGACACGGUCCAAACUCCUACGGGAGGCAGCAGUGGGGAAUAUUGCACAAUGGGCGAAAGCCUGAUGCAGCAACGCCGCGUGAGUGAUGAAGGCCUUCGGGUCGUAAAACUCUGUCCUCAAGGAAGAUAAUGACGGUACUUGAGGAGGAAGCCCCGGCUAACUACGUGCCAGCAGCCGCGGUAAUACGUAGGGGGCUAGCGUUAUCCGGAUUUACUGGGCGUAAAGGGUGCGUAGGUGGUUUCUUAAGUCAGGAGUGAAAGGCUACGGCUCAACCGUAGUAAGCUCUUGAAACUGGGAAACUUGAGUGCAGGAGAGGAAAGUGGAAUUCCUAGUGUAGCGGUGAAAUGCGUAGAUAUUAGGAGGAACACCAGUAGCGAAGGCGGCUUUCUGGACUGUAACUGACACUGAGGCACGAAAGCGUGGGGAGCAAACAGGAUUAGAUACCCUGGUAGUCCACGCCGUAAACGAUGAGUACUAGGUGUCGGGGGUUACCCCCCUCGGUGCCGCAGCUAACGCAUUAAGUACUCCGCCUGGGGAGUACGCUCGCAAGAGUG
rnacentral:rRNA from 1 species